GACGAACGCUGGCGGCGUGCUUAACACAUGCAAGUCGAACGGAAAGGCCUGCUUUCCCUUGUGGAUUGCGGGUACUCGCGUGGCGAACGGGUGAGUAACACGUGAGUGAUCUGCCCCCAACUUGGGUAUAAGCCUGGGGAACUGGGUCUAAUUCCCGAUAGGACUGCAGGGUGGUGCCUGUGGUGGAAAACGAUUUUCUAGUGGUUGGGGAUGAGCUCGCGGCCUAUCAGCUUGUUGGUGGGGUAAUGGCCUACCAAGGCGGCGACGGGUAGCCGGCCUGAGAGGGUGGACGGCCACAUUGGGACUGAGAUACGGCCCAGACUCCUACGGGAGGCAGCAGUGGGGAAUAUUGCACAAUGGGCGGAAGCCUGAUGCAGCGACGCCGCGUGGGGGAUGACGGCCUUCGGGUUGUAAACUCCUUUCGACCGCGAGGAAGCCACCUGGUUGGAAGGGUGGUGACGGUAGUGGUAGAAGAAGCACCGGCUAACUACGUG
rnacentral:rRNA from 1 species